GGGACAAGGACUAAGGUGCAGAGGACAGCUUCAUCUUGCCUUCAAUAUGCUGUAGAUGACGAACAGUGAAGCGGUCUACAUGUAUUGCCACCCAAGCGUCUCCUUGCUCGAGUCCAUUGAUGAAAAGCUGCAGCGAUCCUCCAGCGGCAGGGUCAGGGAGCGCAGAAUAUGACGUGUCCUCGCCAGAAUGAACAGCAGAUGGCGCUCACGCUACGAUAAAUGACGAAACUAUUUGAGGGAGCUGGCUGUCAGCAGGAGGCGGG